rnacentral:rRNA from 1 species
GAUGAACGCUGGCGGCGUGCCUAAUACAUGCAAGUCGAGCGAACGGACGAGAAGCUUGCUUCUCUGAUGUUAGCGGCGGACGGGUGAGUAACACGUGGAUAACCUACCUAUAAGACUGGGAUAACUUCGGGAAACCGGAGCUAAUAACGGAUAAUUUUUUGAACCGCAUGGUUCAAAAGUUAAAGACGGUCUUGCUGUCACUUAUAGAUGGAUCCGCGCUGCAUUAGCUAGUUGGUAAGGUAACGGCUUACCAAGGCAACGAUGCAUAGCCGACCUGAGAGGGUGAUCGGCCACACUGGAACUGAGACACGGUCCUGACUCCUACGGGAGGCAGCAGUAGGGAAGCUUCCGCGAUGGGCGAAAGCCUGACGGAGCAACGCCGCGUGAGUGAUGAAGGUCUUCGGAUCGUAAAACUCUGUUAUUAGGGAAGAACAUAUGUGUAAGUAACUGUGCACAUCUUGACGGUACCUAAUCAGAAAGCCACGGCUAACUACGUG